AAGGUUUUAUUCCUUUUCUUUUUA
rnacentral:tRNA from 1 species